AAAAAAGGUAAGCUACUAAGAGCGAAUGGUGGAUGCCUUGACUGGUAAAGGCGAUGAAGGACGUACUAGACUGCGAUAAGCUACGGGGAGCUGUCAAGAAGCUUUGAUCCGUAGAUUUCCGAAUGGGGCAACCCAAUGUAUAGAGAUAUACAUUACCUAUAUAGGAGCGAACGAGGGGAAUUGAAACAUCUUAGUACCCUCAGGAAAAGAAAUCAAUAGAGAUUGCGUCAGUAGCGGCGAGCGAAAGCGUAAGAGGGCAAACCCAGUGCUUGCACUGGGGGUUGUAGGACUGCAAUGUGCAAGAGGUGAGUUUAGCAGAACAUUCUGGAAAGUAUAGCCAUAGAGGGUGAUAGUCCCGUAUGCGAAAAACAAACCUUAGCUAGCAGUAUCCUGAGUAGGGCGGGACACGAGAAAUCCUGUCUGAAGCUGGGUCGACCACGAUCCAACCCUAAAUACUAAUACCAGAUCGAUAGUGCACAAGUACCGUGAGGGAAAGGUGAAAAGAACUGAGGUGAUCAGAGUGAAAUAGAACCUGAAACCAUUUGCUUACAAUCAUUCAGAGCACUAUGUAGCAAUACAGUGUGAUGGACUGCCUUUUGCAUAAUGAGCCUGCGAGUUGUGGUGUCUGGCAAGGUUAAGCAAACGCGAAGCCGUAGCGAAAGCGAGUCUGAAUAGGGCGCUUAGUCAGAUGCUGCAGACCCGAAACGAAGUGAUCUAUCCAUGAGCAAGUUGAAGCUAGUGUAAGAACUAGUGGAGGACUGAACCCAUAGGCGUUGAAAAGCCCCGGGAUGACUUGUGGAUAGGGGUGAAAGGCCAAUCAAACUUCGUGAUAGCUGGUUCUCUCCGAAAUAUAUUUAGGUAUAGCGUUGUGUCGUAAUAUAAGGGGGUAGAGCACUGAAUGGGCUAGGGCAUACACCAAUGUACCAAACCCUAUCAAACUCCGAAUACCUUAUAUGUAAUCACAGCAGUCAGGCGGCGAGUGAUAAAAUCCGUCGUCAAGAGGGAAACAACCCAGACUACCAGCUAAGGUCCCUAAAUCUUACUUAAGUGGAAAACGAUGUGAAGUUACUUAAACAACCAGGAGGUUGGCUUAGAAGCAGCCAUCCUUUAAAGAAAGCGUAAUAGCUCACUGGUCUAGUGAUUUUGCGCGGAAAAUAUAACGGGGCUAAAGUAAGUACCGAAGCUGUAGACUUGAUUUUAUCAAGUGGUAGGAGAGCGUUCUAUUUGCGCCGAAGGUAUACCGGUAAGGAGUGCUGGAGCGAAUAGAAGUGAGCAUGCAGGCAUGAGUAGCGAUAAUUAAUGUGAGAAUCAUUAACGCCGUAAACCCAAGGUUUCCUACGCGAUGCUCGUCAUCGUAGGGUUAGUCGGGUCCUAAGUCGAGUCCGAAAGGGGUAGACGAUGGCAAAUUGGUUAAUAUUCCAAUACCAACAUUAGUGUGCGAUGGAAGGACGCUUAGGGCUAAGGGGGCUAGCGGAUGGAAGUGCUAGUCUAAGGUCGUAGGAGGUUAUACAGGCAAAUCCGUAUAACAAUACUCCGAGAACUGAAAGGCUUUUUGAAGUCUUCGGAUGGAUAGAAGAACCCCUGAUGCCGUCGAGCCAAGAAAAGUUUCUAAGUUUAGCUAAUGUUGCCCGUACCGUAAACCGACACAGGUGGGUGGGAUGAGUAUUCUAAGGCGCGUGGAAGAACUCUCUUUAAGGAACUCUGCAAAAUAGCACCGUAUCUUCGGUAUAAGGUGUGGUUCGCUUCGUAUUAGGAUUUACUCCGAAAGCGAAGAAACUUACAACAAAGAGUCCCUCCCGACUGUUUACCAAAAACACAGCACUCUGCUAACUCGUAAGAGGAUGUAUAGGGUGUGACGCCUGCCCGGUGCUCGAAGGUUAAUUGAUGGGGUUAGCAUUAGCGAAGCUCUUGAUCGAAGCCCGAGUAAACGGCGGCCGUAACUAUAACGGUCCUAAGGUAGCGAAAUUCCUUGUCGGUUAAAUACCGACCUGCAUGAAUGGCGUAACGAGAUGGGAGCUGUCUCAAAGAGGGAUCCAGUGAAAUUGUAGUGGAGGUGAAAAUUCCUCCUACCCGCGGCAAGACGGAGAGACCCCGUGGACCUUUACUACAGCUUGACACUGCUAUUUGGAUAAGAAUGUGCAGGAUAGGUGGGAGGCUUUGAGUAUAUGACGCCAGUUGUAUAUGAGCCAUUGUUGAGAUACCACUCUUUCUUAUUUGGGUAGCUAACCAGCUUGAGUUAUCCUCAAGUGGGACAAUGUCUGGUGGGUAGUUUGACUGGGGCGGUCGCCUCCCAAAUAAUAACGGAGGCUUACAAAGGUUGGCUCAGAACGGUUGGAAAUCGUUCGUAGAGUAUAAAGGUAUAAGCCAGCUUAACUGCAAGACAUACAAGUCAAGCAGAGACGAAAGUCGGUCUUAGUGAUCCGGUGGUUCUGUGUGGAAGGGCCAUCGCUCAAAGGAUAAAAGGUACCCCGGGGAUAACAGGCUGAUCUCCCCCAAGAGCUCACAUCGACGGGGAGGUUUGGCACCUCGAUGUCGGCUCAUCGCAUCCUGGGGCUGGAGCAGGUCCCAAGGGUAUGGCUGUUCGCCAUUUAAAGCGGUACGCGAGCUGGGUUCAGAACGUCGUGAGACAGUUCGGUCCCUAUCUGCCGUGGGCGUAAGAAGAUUGAAGAGAUUUGACCCUAGUACGAGAGGACCGGGUUGAACAAACCACUGGUGUAGCUGUUGUUCUGCCAAGAGCAUCGCAGCGUAGCUAAGUUUGGAAAGGAUAAACGCUGAAAGCAUCUAAGCGUGAAGCCAACUCUAAGAUGAAUCUUCUCUAAGCUCUCUAGAAGACUACUAGUUUGAUAGGCUGGGUGUGUAAUGGAUGAAAGUCCUUUAGCUGACCAGUACUAAUAGAGCGUUUGGCUUAUCUUUAAUAAAGCAU
rnacentral:rRNA from 1 species